UGACUUUCUGUCUAGUGUUGCUUGUUUCUGCUGUUCUCAACGUAGUAGCUCAAAGCUAUACAGGAGAUAAUCAUCCUUCUGUCUGCAGCAGGCAGAACAGCUUGCAUGAGAGGUUCUGCAGAGAGUUGUGUAAUAUCAAUGGGUGGUCUCGUGGGCAAUGUGAUAAAGGAAAGUGUAAUUGCAGCUAAUAAAAUAUGUAAGGUAGAACUUACCAGCAUGUUGUGUUAGUAAUCACAUUAACUCUCUGAAUGUGCUAAAACGUGACUGUUACCAUUAGUAUUUCCCAAAUAAACUUUUAAAGUUGGUA